UUAUAGUAAUAUUUGAUGUCCAUCUUGG
rnacentral:sRNA from 1 species